UAAGCGUUAGUAUUUUAUUAUUAUAUUAUUAUUAUUGCCUGGGAGUUAGAGCCCUCAGCUGGACUAACAGUUAGGUACAGAAGUCUGCAGGGCCUUGGUGGAGGACGUCUCUGAAGAAGAAUUCUGGAAGGAACCAUGGAGGAUAUGCAGCCUUAAUGCUAACGAUGGGAAAUUCUGCAUUAAAAAAAUGACUUGUAAAGUAAAUAGAUUGAAUGGAUUGGGCAUCUGCUGUGAACAGCCAGACAUGUUCUGUCUCACUGCGAGUUGGCCUGGAAGAUGCAGAUCCCCCUGGGAAAUGGGGCUCUGUGUAGGGGAAGGGCUACAGCCCUCCCAGGGGGAUUUCAUCCUCUAUUUCCAGCAGCCAUGGUUCCAGGACUUUCCUGGACCACAAAGGGUGACUCAAAACUUUUCCUUGUUCACACUGUAAUAAUUCUGCUGUGACAAUAUGGUUAUCCUCUUAGCUACGCCAGUGGUAUGGGCAACACCCAAUCCCUUCUCUUUGCCCAUGAUUGCCGCUCGACCCCUGAGCAGGUCACAGACCUCUCCAUAUCCAGGGCAGAGCAAACAGAAGUACAGAAGAAGGCGAUUCCAAGGUGGGAUUCCCAGUGGACUGAUGAGCCCAGAUUUUCUUUCUUGCUUGCUGCUCUGUCCUCUUCAGGGUAUCAGUGACGUGUGUUUCUUCAUAGUUACAAGAUGGCGUCUGCAGUGGCAAAACCCAACUAUGUCUAAAAGUAGGAAGGAUGAGAGAGAGAGAGACCGUUUGCUCAUUCAUUCUCUCUUUACCCCUGGAAACACUCCCCUUCAGUCCCACUGGAGGGGCGUGGGUCACAUAUCUGCACACGGACUCAAGGAGGAUGGUCUUCAGUCACGUGGUUUCGAUACUUGGAACACUAUGCAACACUCAGCCCUCCAAGGUGAGACAGAGCACCCCCUUUCAACAUGUAAGAUGAACUCCUUAGUUCUGGGCAACAUUAGCCUGUGGAUUUUACAUCUUGCCAAUUCUCUAAUACUUUAUUCUUAAUCCACAGCCCUGUGGGCUUUUAUAAAUAGCUUCGAUAAUUCCAAAAGGCCAUCCACUUUUUCUUAACCGAAGUUGCAAAUUGGUAUCAGUCCAUGUUUGUGUAUUUCCAACCAUUAUUCCUACCCAAAGUUGUUUAUGGGUGAUGAGAUUUGGUCCAGUUUAGUGUCCAACGAGAUUAUCCAUAAUGACUUUUGAAAUCAUCUGUUUUUUGACUGUUUAUCUCCUGGAAACUUUACAGCACACUAUUGAAGCCAUUCCAGCCAAAGCCUGUUUUUCCUCCCAUUAGGUCAUUAAAGACAGCACCAAACCAAGUAUAAGAAGAAACUUUUUCCAUCCAGAAAAAAAACAAAGAUGCUCCUAUUUGGUUUUCUGGGUUUCUCAUGCUCACAUUUUCUGAUUAAGAAAAUUUAGACAGUGUCAGGGUUAUACAGAAUACAUAAUCUAUUCAGAAAUCUGCCCAACAAUGUCUAUUCUGAGGGGGGAGGGGAUACAAAGUAUAUGCAUUGAAUUAUCAGAUUCAACCUCACAGGUGUCAUCUACAGGUAGAUGCGGUAGUCUACAGGUACCACCCAACCAGCCAAUGUUUGUUGAGCAUCUGUAACAUGCCACAUUAGGUGCUCUGAGGAUUCCAAAGAUGACAACGGUAAAGAUCCUAGACAUACACAUGCGACUAAGGCAAAGCAAUAUAUGAUAAAGACCAAUAAAAGUAAAAUUCGAGUUCCAUACUAAACGUAUACAAAACUAAACAUGGAUGAGUCCCUCAGACACUGCGACCUGAGCAUUUAGAAAACAUGCGCGCUACACCCAUGUGCACAGCAGCAUCAUUCACAGUUGCCAAAAGGUGGAAGCAGCCCUAGUGUCCAUGGAUGGAUGAAGGGAUAAACAAAAUGUGCUACCGCCAUACAACGGAAUAUUACGCGGCAUCACAAAGGACACGUGCUACCAAAUGGGUGUUUGUUGAGAACAUUCCAAGUGAAUAUGCUAAGUGAAAUGUGUCAGCGACCAAAGGACAAAUACUUUAUGAUUCCACUCAUAUGAGGUUCCUAAGGAAGUCAAAUUUAUAGAGCCAGAAAGCAGAAUGGUGGCUGGUUAUCAGGGCCUGGGGAAAGGGGAGGAAGGGAAGCCAUUGUUUAAUGGGUACAGAGUUUCCGAUCUGCGAGAUGAAAAAGGUUCUGGAGGUGGAUGGUGGUGACAGUGGCAUGAUAAUAUGAAUGUACUCAAUGCCACCAGACUGUACACUCAAAAAGAGUGAAAAUGGUAAAUUUUAUCUUAUGUAUAUUGUAUGAUCACUUAAAAGACAUGCGCAGAGAAAUUGAAAUUCUGUAUUUUUAACACAAAUGCA